CACCUGGAAACAGAUUGACUAAUACCGGAUAACAACAGAUAGAUGCCUAUCAACUAGUUUAAAAAGUAAUGGUUCUGCUAUCACUACUUGGAUGGACCUGCGGUGCAUUAGCUAGUUGGUAGGGUAACGGCCUACCAAGGCGAUGAUGCAUAGCCGAGUUGAGAGACUGAUCGGCCACAUUGGGACUGAGACACGGCCCAAACUCCUACGGGAGGCAGCAGGC
rnacentral:rRNA from 1 species